rnacentral:rRNA from 1 species
AUACGUAGGUGACAAGCGUUAUCCGGAUUUACUGGGCGUAAAGGGCGUGUAGGCGGUCUUGCAAGUCAGAAGUGAAAUUCCUGAGCUCAACUCGGGCGCUGCUUCUGAAACUGCAGGACUUGAGUGCUGGAGGGGAUAGCGGAAUUCCUAGUGGAGCGGUAAAAUGCGCAGAUAUUAGGAAGAACACCGGUGGCGAAGGCGGCUAUCUGGACAGUAACUGACGCUAAGGCGCGAAAGCGGGGGGAGCAAACAGGAUUAGAUACCCUGGUAGUCCACGCCGUAAACGAUGAGUACUAGCUGUCGGGGGUUACCACCCUCGGUGGCGCAGCUAACGCAUUAAGUACUCCGCCUGGGAAGUACGCUCGCAAGAGUGAAACUCAAAGGAAUUGGCGGGG